rnacentral:rRNA from 1 species
AUUGAACGCUGGCGGCAUGCCUUACACAUGCAAGUCGAACGGCAGCACGGGUGCUUGCACCUGGUGGCGAGUGGCGAACGGGUGAGUAAUACAUCGGAACGUACCUUAUCGUGGGGGAUAACGCAGCGAAAGUUGCGCUAAUACCGCAUACGCCCUGAGGGGGAAAGCGGGGGACCGUAAGGCCUCGCGCGAUUAGAGCGGCCGCUGUCUGAUUAGCUUGUUGGUGAGGUAAAAGCUCACCAAGGCGAUGAUCAGUAGCUGGUCUGAGAGGACGAUCGGCCACACUGGGACUGAGACACGGCCCAGACUCCUACGGGAGGCAGCAGUGGGGAAUUUUGGACAAUGGGGGCAACCCUGAUCCAGCAAUGCCGCGUGAGUGAAGAAGGCCUUCGGGUUGUAAAGCUCUUUUGUCAGGGAAGAAACAGCAGCUCUAACACAGUCUGCGAAUGACGGUACCUGAAGAAUAAGCACCGGCUAACUACGUGCCAGCAGCCGCCGUAA